rnacentral:rRNA from 1 species
GGUUAAGCGACUAAGCGUACACGGUGGAUGCCCUGGCAGUCAGAGGCGAUGAAGGACGUGCUAAUCUGCGAUAAGCGUCGGUAAGGUGAUAUGAACCGUUAUAACCGGCGAUUUCCGAAUGGGGAAACCCAGUGUGAUUCGUCACACUAUCAUUAACUGAAUCCAUAGGUUAAUGAGGCGAACCGGGGGAACUGAAACAUCUAAGUACCCCGAGGAAAAGAAAUCAACCGAGAUUCCCCCAGUAGCGGCGAGCGAACGGGGAGCAGCCCAGAGCCUGAAUCAGUGUGUGUGUUAGUGGAAGCGUCUGGAAAGGCGCGCGAUACAGGGUGACAGCCCCGUACACAAAAAUGCACAUGCUGUGAGCUCGAUGAGUAGGGCGGGACACGUGGUAUCCUGUCUGAAUAUGGGGGGACCAUCCUCCAAGGCUAAAUACUCCUGACUGACCGAUAGUGAACCAGUACCGUGAGGGAAAGGCGAAAAGAACCCCGGCGAGGGGAGUGAAAAAGAACCUGAAACCGUGUACGUACAAGCAGUGGGAGCACGCUUAGGCGUGUGACUGCGUACCUUUUGUAUAAUGGGUCAGCGACUUAUAUUCUGUAGCAAGGUUAACCGAAUAGGGGAGCCGAAGGGAAACCGAGUCUUAACUGGGCGUUAAGUUGCAGGGUAUAGACCCGAAACCCGGUGAUCUAGCCAUGGGCAGGUUGAAGGUUGGGUAACACUAACUGGAGGACCGAACCGACUAAUGUUGAAAAAUUAGCGGAUGACUUGUGGCUGGGGGUGAAAGGCCAAUCAAACCGGGAGAUAGCUGGUUCUCCCCGAAAGCUAUUUAGGUAGCGCCUCGUGAAUUCAUCUCCGGGGGUAGAGCACUGUUUCGGCAAGGGGGUCAUCCCGACUUACCAACCCGAUGCAAACUGCGAAUACCGGAGAAUGUUAUCACGGGAGACACACGGCGGGUGCUAACGUCCGUCGUGAAGAGGGAAACAACCCAGACCGCCAGCUAAGGUCCCAAAGUCAUGGUUAAGUGGGAAACGAUGUGGGAAGGCCCAGACAGCCAGGAUGUUGGCUUAGAAGCAGCCAUCAUUUAAAGAAAGCGUAAUAGCUCACUGGUCGAGUCGGCCUGCGCGGAAGAUGUAACGGGGCUAAACCAUGCACCGAAGCUGCGGCAGCGACACUGUGUGUUGUUGGGUAGGGGAGCGUUCUGUAAGCCUGCGAAGGUGUGCUGUGAGGCAUGCUGGAGGUAUCAGAAGUGCGAAUGCUGACAUAAGUAACGAUAAAGCGGGUGAAAAGCCCGCUCGCCGGAAGACCAAGGGUUCCUGUCCAACGUUAAUCGGGGCAGGGUGAGUCGACCCCUAAGGCGAGGCCGAAAGGCGUAGUCGAUGGGAAACAGGUUAAUAUUCCUGUACUUGGUGUUACCGCGAAGGGGGGACGGAGAAGGCUAUGUUGGCCGGGCGACGGUUGUCCCGGUUUAAGCGUGUAGGCUGGUUUUCCAGGCAAAUCCGGAAAAUCAAGGCUGAGGCGUGAUGACGAGGCACUACGGUGCUGAAGCAACAAAUGCCCUGCUUCCAGGAAAAGCCUCUAAGCAUCAGGUAACAUCAAAUCGUACCCCAAACCGACACAGGUGGUCAGGUAGAGAAUACCAAGGCGCUUGAGAGAACUCGGGUGAAGGAACUAGGCAAAAUGGUGCCGUAACUUCGGGAGAAGGCACGCUGAUAUGUAGGUGAAGUCCCUCGCGGAUGGAGCUGAAAUCAGUCGAAGAUACCAGCUGGCUGCAACUGUUUAUUAAAAACACAGCACUGUGCAAACACGAAAGUGGACGUAUACGGUGUGACGCCUGCCCGGUGCCGGAAGGUUAAUUGAUGGGGUCAGCGCAAGCGAAGCUCUUGAUCGAAGCCCCGGUAAACGGCGGCCGUAACUAUAACGGUCCUAAGGUAGCGAAAUUCCUUGUCGGGUAAGUUCCGACCUGCACGAAUGGCGUAAUGAUGGCCAGGCUGUCUCCACCCGAGACUCAGUGAAAUUGAACUCGCUGUGAAGAUGCAGUGUACCCGCGGCAAGACGGAAAGACCCCGUGAACCUUUACUAUAGCUUGACACUGAACAUUGAGCCUUGAUGUGUAGGAUAGGUGGGAGGCUUUGAAGUGUGGACGCCAGUCUGCAUGGAGCCGACCUUGAAAUACCACCCUUUAAUGUUUGAUGUUCUAACGUUGACCCGUGAUCCGGGUUGCGGACAGUGUCUGGUGGGUAGUUUGACUGGGGCGGUCUCCUCCUAAAGAGUAACGGAGGAGCACGAAGGUUGGCUAAUCCUGGUCGGACAUCAGGAGGUUAGUGCAAUGGCAUAAGCCAGCUUGACUGCGAGCGUGACGGCGCGAGCAGGUGCGAAAGCAGGUCAUAGUGAUCCGGUGGUUCUGAAUGGAAGGGCCAUCGCUCAACGGAUAAAAGGUACUCCGGGGAUAACAGGCUGAUACCGCCCAAGAGUUCAUAUCGACGGCGGUGUUUGGCACCUCGAUGUCGGCUCAUCACAUCCUGGGGCUGAAGUAGGUCCCAAGGGUAUGGCUGUUCGCCAUUUAAAGUGGUACGCGAGCUGGGUUUAGAACGUCGUGAGACAGUUCGGUCCCUAUCUGCCGUGGGCGCUGGAGAACUGAGGGGGGCUGCUCCUAGUACGAGAGGACCGGAGUGGACGCAUCACUGGUGUUCGGGUUGUCAUGCCAAUGGCACUGCCCGGUAGCUAAAUGCGGAAGAGAUAAGUGCUGAAAGCAUCUAAGCACGAAACUUGCCCCGAGAUGAGUUCUCCCUGACUCCUUGAGAGUCCUGAAGGAACGUUGAAGACGACGACGUUGAUAGGCCGGGUGUGUAAGCGCAGCGAUGCGUUGAGCUAACCGGUACUAAUGAACCGUGAGG